UUCAUUGAUUCAGACUUGACAAGGACAGAGUUCGGUUCAAGUGCAAAUGAUGGUAAUAUCCAUGCUCUGGCUUCUGAAAUGAGAAACUCAGAUGUUUCAAAAAAUAACGUCCAAGAUGAAUCCAGUUCAUCUUCAGUCUCACUUACUUUGGCAACCAGCAGAUCCAAUAUUCUCACAAGAAAUAGUAGUCUCUGUAGUAGGGUUGAUCGAGCGGAAAACUUAGAUGGUCUCCCUGAUUUCGAUGAUGAA
rnacentral:misc_RNA from 1 species